UCUGGUAAACUCCUCCAUCCAAGAACUCUGUAUUUUGAACAGAUUGAUUGGAGUGAUGUGACAAAAAAAUUUAGCUCCAGUAAAAAUAUGUCCUUAGACUAAGGGAAAGUCAAAGUCAUUUACUGCGAAAGAAAGGGAGAGAUGAAUGAGAAAACCAAGUGGAUGGAGUCACAAAGAGAUAAAUUUGCAACUGAGGAAGAUGCUUCAAAUCUAACAAAACAAAAUUGCUGGAGAAACUCCGGUCUGGCAGCAUCUAGGGAGAGAGAAAGCAGAGUUAACAUUUUCUGGAUCAGUGGUGCUGGAAGAGCACAGCAGUUCAGGCAGCAUCCAAAAUGCAGCGAAAUCGACGUUUCGGGCAAAAGCCGUUCAUCAGGAAUCAACAUUUAGAGUUAACAUUUUGUCCAGUGAUCCUUCUAUAGAACUAAUUAUAGCAAGGAAAAGGUUGGCCAAACUUGAAUAUUGUCCAAAUCUUGGUGCAUUUGAACAUGGAUUGCUUCAAUGUCUGAGGAAUUGGGAAUGGUGCUGAACACUGAGCAAUCAUCAGCAAACACCCCCACCUCUGACUUGAUGGAGGGAAGGUCAUUGAUGAAGCAGCUGAAGAUGGUUGGGCCGAGGACACUGCCCUGAGGAACUCCUGCGGAGAUGUCCUGGAGCUGAGAUGACUGAUCACUUGCUUCACGUUGUCUCUGAUUAACAUUGCUGUCACCUUUCCCACAGCUUUAGCUAUUCUGUACCUGAUGGUCUUAUACUCACUGACAGUUUGUGGAUAACAGUUUCCCUCUGAUUAUACUGGAAAAUGGUCUAAAUCCACUCUGCUUGGUUGGAGUGGUGACUUGCAACUUUGGUUAUUCCAGAAUUGGGAGUCUGGAUGUUCAGUUUAUCAGGGAUUAGCUACUUAUCCAGUGGGAAUGGCUGGUACCUCGACCAUAACCGGGAACUCAGGUUUGCACCAAUUUGACUCUUUUCACGUUGUCGUGGAUUCUUGAAUCAAUGCAAUGUCUUUGUUUUCCAUCACUCGGGAAAUAGGAUUGUGGUUACUAUGGUGACAGGUGAACCAGUCAGCCAAGAAAUUGCUUCCUGUUUGCUUCCUGAUACAGUUUUCUGAAACAGUUUAUUUCUGGAAUGACUAAUGCAAUUCAGACCCUGUCUGAUGGGCAUGGCUGAACAAACUGUUGUUGAAUCAUCAAGAACUUGUUAUUAUCUAUAAGAAACACCUCCAGGAGUGUACCGUGAGGUUAUCAACAGCAGCACAUGGUCUUGUUCACACAGAGCCAGCAGCUGGCAGCAUCAGCACGGACCCCGCUCUGUCCCAGCUGAGGACCAGCACAGACCCCGUUCUGUCCCAGCUGAGCACCAGCACGGACCCCGUUCUGUCCCAGCUGAGCACCAGCAUGGACCCCGCUCUGUCCCAGCUGAGCACCAGCACGGACCCCGCUCUGUCCCAGCUGAGGACCAGCACAGACCCCGCUCUGUCCCAGCUGAGGACCAGCACAGACCCCGCUCUGUCUCAGCUGAGGACCAGCACAGACCCUGCCCUGUCCAGCUGGCAGCACCAGCACAGACCCCAUUCUGUCCCAGCUGAGGACCAGCACAGACCUCGUUCUGUCCCAGCUGAGCACCAGCACGGACCCCGCUCUGUCCCAGCUGAGGACCAGCACAGACCCCGCUCUGUCCCAGCUGAGGACCAGCACAGACCCCGCUCUGUCCCAGCUGAGGACCAGCACAGACCCUGCCCUGUCCAGCUGGCAGCACCAGCACAGACCCUGCUCUGUCCCAGCUGAGGACCAGCACAGACCCCGCUCUGUACCAGCUGAGGACCAGCACAGACCCUGCUCUGUCCCAGCUGGCAGCACCAGCACAGACCCCGCUCUGUCCCAGCUAAGGACCAGCACAGACCCCGCUCUGUCCCAGCUGAGGACCAGCACAGACCCUGCUCUGUCCCAGCUAAGAACCAGCACAGACCAAUGAUCGCUCUAGGACAGGGCGUCGCAGUUUGUUGGGGCUGAGUGUAGGACACCAGGUCACACUGCAACCUUGGCACGUUAUUCCCACCUCCCAGAAAGCCUGGAGCGAUCCGAUACCAAUCACAAGAAACACCCAUCCAACAAAUGUCUUAAACAUUGUUCCCCGGGAGAACAUCACUCAGGGUUGGAACUGGAAGCUAUGACAAAAACCAGGAGAUAUAGAUCCAAACCAUCCUGCAAGUCCACCCUCCUCCAGCCCCAGUACCCUCCUCAUGGAGCAAUGUAAUAGGCCCCAUACCAAUCUGGUCCUCGAUAUAUCCCCCACUUACCCCUCUCGUGUUAAAUGCAACCUUUCCAAAAGUGAAUAUUUGUGUAAUUGUGUAGGAUCCAUAGGGUUUGUACCUGAAUGUUCAGAAUAAAGUGGCAGACACUCCCUGUAAUUCCUGUAA